AGUAGGUAGGGGCUUGAAAACCAAAGGAUUUGGCGGUGUUUAAUUCAUUUAGAGGAACUUGUGCUGUAAACGAUGAACCGCGAGGAUCUUUCUUCAUUUUGUAGAGUUUGUAUACCGUCAUUAAGGUAUCUUUAAGAGGAGGUACUGAGAUAGGGAGGAAAAGUUAGUAAAGAAAAAUAGCUUUGAUAGAUCCUAAAAUAUUAGAUCAAGGUGCGGCUAAUAAUGAAGUGGUCAUGGGUUACAAUUCUUAUAAAGAAUAACGGAGAGGUUGAUGAAAUUCAACUUUGAAGGCGGAUUUAAAUGUAAAUUAAAUAAAUGAUAUUUUAUUGAUAAGAAUCUUAAAUGUGUACACA
rnacentral:rRNA from 1 species